rnacentral:misc_RNA from 1 species
CCGAGUUACAACUCCCAAACCCCUGUGAACAUACCACUUGUUGCCUCGGCGGAUCAGCCCGCUCCCGGUAAAACGGGACGGCCCGCCAGAGGACCCCUAAAACUCUGUUUCUAUAUGUAACUUCUGAGUAAAACCAUAAAUAAAUCAA